UGCCGGCUUUCCAUCAGCCGGGGUUACUGAAGAGGCACACCUUCAUUGCCGGACGUGCGGUAGGUUCCAACCUCCAAUCCAUGGCAGACAAAGCCGGAUGAACGCCUCGGCGGGCUUCAUCCACAAAUCGCGCUGUACGAGCGCAUGUGAGGA
rfam:Rhizobium sp. Leaf371 contig_4, whole genome shotgun sequence.